rnacentral:rRNA from 1 species
GGAUGCGAUCAUACCAGCACUAAAGCAUCGGAUCCUAUCAGAACUCCGAAGUUAAGCGUGCUUGGGCGAGAGUAGUACUAGGAUGGGUGACCUCCUCGGAAGUCCUCGUGUUGCUUCCCU